rnacentral:lncRNA from 10 species
AGGCUCACCUGGGAGAAACCAGAUGCUCUGUAGGAAAUGCAACGGUCCUGCAAACACCAUGCUAUGGGAAGCCCAAGCCAUGUGCAGAGGCCCUGGAGGAAGAGAUUCAUUGUGUCGAGCAAGAGACCACAUGCAUGAGGAAGCCAUCUUAGAAAUGGAUCCUUCAUCCCACCCAUUUCAGGAGAUUCAGCUUUGACUAGGAAGGCAAAGGCCACACUACAGGGCUGUGGUUCUCAAAGUGUGAUGUCCAAACCAUCAACAUCAACGUCACAAGAGAACCUGUUAGAAAUGCAAAUUCAUCGGUCCCAUCCAAGACUUAUAGAAUCAGAAACUCCAGGUGGGCUCAGAAAGCCCUCCAGGUGAUUAUGAUGCCCGAAAGCAGAGACUGGCAAACUGCAGCCAAUGGACCAAAACCACUGGGUGGCUCGAUUUUGUACAACAAUGAGCUAAGAAUGGGUUUUACAUUUGCGAACAGUUGCAACAAAAAGUAACAAAGCCAAAGAAGAAUAUGUAAUUGAGACUUAUGUGGCUGGUAAAGACUAAAAUUUCACCUUAUGGCCUUUUACAGAAAGUUUGCCAACCUCCGCAUUCAAGUUGAGAACUAUUGCCAUAAAGGCUUGCUCAGUAAAAGGAACUUAGAUCCCUGAAUAACUUAGUGGAGCAGAAGUGCUCUGUCAGUUUGGCCUGCUCACUCCAAAACUGCUAGAGAGAAAAAUAAACUCCUAGGCCGUGUAAGCCUCCAUACACGGGGCCUCUGUUACGGCAGCUGAGCCCAAAUCCUGACCAAUGUAAGAGGUUAAGAAGGAGCUGCUAUACUACACGUUGAUCUCUCUUCCCACACCUUAUUGUCAGCUCAUGGUCUGAAGUUUGCUUUUAGUUUCCAUCAUUACAUGUCUCCUGAUUACUCUCUUUAAAGGUACAGAUAUUGGAUUCAUCUAAUAGUUCUCCAUAAUUUUGAGCCCUAGAGGCUUUAGAACACUUACUGGAACUUCAUAAAUUGAAUCUAUCCAGG